rnacentral:piRNA from 1 species
UAGGUGGUCACUUUUAAACCUGGGCCCU